UCUCGCGUCAGGAUAUGCCUAGGUGGGAUAAGCUAGUUGGUGAGGUAAUGGCUCACCAAGGCGACGAUCCCUAGCUGGUCUGAGAGGAUGAUCAGCCACACUGGAACUGAGACACGGUCCAGACUCCUACGGGAGGCAGCAGUGGGGAAUAUUGCACAAUGGGCGCAAGCCUGAUGCAGCCAUGCCGCGUGUGUGAAGAAGGCCUUCGGGUUGUAAAGCACUUUCAGUCGUGAGGAAGGUGGUGUAGUUAAUAGCUGCAUUACUUGACGUUAGCGACAGAAGAAGCACCGGCUAACUCCGUGCCAGCAGCCGCGGUAAUACGGAGGGUGCGAGCGUUAAUCGGAAUUACUGGGCGUAAAGCGCAUGCAGGUGGUUUGUUAAGUCAGAUGUGAAAGCCCGGGGCUCAACCUCGGAAUAGCAUUUGAAACUGGCAGACUAGAGUACUGUAGAGGGGGGUAGAAUUUCA
rnacentral:rRNA from 1 species